rnacentral:lncRNA from 1 species
AGGGAAUCCGGUCCCGUUCAAUAUCGUGGAUGAAUGUGGAGGGCAUUCUUAAGUAGUCAGCUAGUCACAGAGAGAGGAGCACACAGUGUACUUGUUACGUGUGGAAUCUGACGUAGUCAAAGUCUUAGGAGCUGAGCGUAGAGCGGUGGGCGCAGGCGCCUGUAGGGAGGAUGGCUGAAGAACUCUUGGCCAAAGAGUGCAGGACUUUAGUUAGACAUGAGUGACUUGAGUGGUAUUGGUCUGUCGUUUAUUUGACAGUUACCAGAACAGCGUAUGGUUUAGCACGAGUUGUAUCCUCCUCACGGAGCCCAGGGCUGCCAGGCUUACAUCCUUACCUUCCAGCUCCGAAGAGGAAGAGCGUCCCUUCUCCCAUCGAUUCCAAAAGCUCAGUUGCCAGAUGGAAUCACGCCCUGAACCAUUCCUGAAGGGAUGAAGCGGGAUUCAUGUGUAGAAGAGAAAGACCUGCAGUCACUUUUGAGUGAUUCCAGACAGGAGGGCAGAAGAAAAAAAGACCAGGCAGAAAUCAAGUUAGGAAAUGGCCUGCAUCUUCCACAGCUCAAGUUCCCAGGGAGAAGGCAACCAGCAGACUGUCUUAGUCAAGAGACGUUAAAGGAGAUAGAAUGAUGGCAAGCUACUACCACAGAAAGGAACCAUUCCUUACCUGUUUCUUUUGCCAGAGGUGAGCAAAUUUUCAAAUAGGAGGUGAGAACUGGCUUUAUGCAGUUCUAAUGAAGGAAUGUCUUUGCAGCAUCAAAACAAACACACACAUGAAGCCUAGUGAUUCUUCUAGGCUUCAUGUGCAAGUCACCUCAAGGAGACUCAGCCAGCUACAGGAGUAGAUCUGUGCUGAGUGGUAAGAGGGUGCCACAGGACUCCAGUGACUGGUGGGCAAUGGAUCUUAGCUGACAGUGGCAUUAUGGCCCUCUGUUAAUGGAAGGGAGCCAGGUAAGAAGGCCUGGCUACAGUACUACAGUACAACUCAUAGUGGCUUCAUGAUGUGUGU